GAUGAACGCUGGCGGCGUGCUUAACACAUGCAAGUCGAACGAUGAACCUGUGCUUGCACGGGGGAUUAGUGGCGAACGGGUGAGUAACACGUGAGUAACCUGCCCUUGACUUCGGGAUAAGCCUGGGAAACUGGGUCUAAUACUGGAUACGACCCCUCAUCGCAUGGUGUGGGGGUGGAAAGUUUUUGCGGUUUUGGAUGGACUCGCGGCCUAUCAGCUUGUUGGUGAGGUAAUGGCUCACCAAGGCGACGACGGGUAGCCGGCCUGAGAGGGUGACCGGCCACACUGGGACUGAGACACGGCCCAGACUCCUACGGGAGGCAGCAGUGGGGAAUAUUGCACAAUGGGCGAAAGCCUGAUGCAGCGACGCCGCGUGAGGGACGACGGCCUUCGGGUUGUAAACCUCUUUCAGUAGGGAACAAGGCAUCAUUUUUGUGGUGUUGAGGGUACUUGCAGAAGAAGCACCGGCUAACUACGUGCCAGCAGCCGCGGUAAUACGUAGGGUGCAAGCGUUAUCCGGAAUUAUUGGGCGUAAAGAGCUCGUAGGCGGUUUGUCGCGUCUGUCGUGAAAGUCCGGGGCUCAACUCCGGAUCUGCGGUGGGUACGGGCAGACUAGAGUGAUGUAGGGGAGACUGGAAUUCCUGGU
rnacentral:rRNA from 1 species